AUUGUGUGAAUACAUAGCACAUUCGAGGUAGACGCAGAGAACUGAAACAUCUAAGUACCUGCAGGAAGAGAAAGAAAAUUCGAUUCCCUGAGUAGCGGCGAGCGAAACGGGAAAAGCCCAAACCAGCAAGCUUGCUUGUUGGGGUUGUAGGACUCCAAUAUGGUAGUUCUUUCAGAUAGUCGAAUGACUUGGAAAAGUCAGUCAAAGAGGGUAAAAACCCCGUAGACGAAAUGUGGAAGACACCUAGGAGGAUCCUGAGUACGGCGGAACACGAGAAAUUCCGUCGGAAUCCGGGAGGACCAUCUCCCAAGGCUAAAUACUCCCUAGUGACCGAUAGUGAACCAGUACCGUGAGGGAAAGGUGAAAAGCACCCCGGAAGGGGAGUGAAAUAGAACCUGAAACCGUGUGCCUACAACAAGUCAAAGCCCGUUAAUGGGUGAUGGCGUGCCUUUUGUAGAAUGAACCGGCGAGUUACGAUUGCAUGCGAGGUUAAGUUGAAGAGACGGAGCCGCAGCGAAAGCGAGUCUGAAUAGGGCGUUUGAGUAUGUAGUCGUAGACCCGAAACCAUGUGAUCUACCCAUGUCCAGGUUGAAGGUGCGGUAAAACGCACUGGAGGACCGAACCCACGUACGUUGAAAAGUGCGGGGAUGAGGUGUGGGUAGCGGAGAAAUUCCAAACGAACUUGGAGAUAGCUGGUUCUCUCCGAAAUAGCUUUAGGGCUAGCCUCGGAAUUGAGAAUGAUGGAGGUAGAGCACUGUUUGGACUAGGGGCCCAUCUCGGGUUACCGAAUUCAGAUAAACUCCGAAUGCCAUUCAUUCAUAUCCGGGAGUCAGACUGUGAGUGAUAAGAUCCAUAGUCGAAAGGGAAACAGCCCAGACCACCAGCUAAGGUCCCAAAAUAUAUGUUAAGUGGAAAAGGAUGUGGGGUUGCACAGACAACUAGGAUGUUG
rnacentral:rRNA from 1 species